rnacentral:rRNA from 1 species
AGAGUUUGAUUCUGGCUCAGGACGAACGCUGGCGGCGUGCUUAACACAUGCAAGUCACGGGGGCCCGCAAGGGCAACCGGCGAACGGGUGCGUAACACGUGAGCGACCUGCCGAGGUGUGGGGGAUAGCCGGGCCAACGCCCGGGUAAUACCGCAUACGAUCACUGGGGGGCAUCCCCUGGUGAUGAAACCUCCGGGGCACUUCGAGGGGCUCGCGGCUUAUCAGCUAGUUGGCGGGGUAACGGCCCACCAAGGCUACGACGAGUAGCUGGUCUGAGAGGAUGGCCAGCCACAUUGGGACUGAGAUACGGCCCAGACUCCUACGGGAGGCAGCAGUGGGGAAUCUUGCGCAAUGGGCGAAAGCCUGACGCAGCGACGCCGCGUGGAGGAUGAAGCUUUUCGGAGUGUAAACUCCUGUUGCUCGGGACGAAUCCCUGGUUCUUCCAGGUGACGUACCACUAGAAGNCCGAUNCCGU